rnacentral:rRNA from 1 species
UGGUAGUCCACGCAGUAAACGAUGUUCACUCGCUGUCUGCGAUAUACAGUAAGCGGCUUAGCGAAAGCAUUAAGUGAACCACCUGGGGAGUACGUCGGCAACGCUGAAACUCAAAGGAAUCGACGGGGGCCCGCACAAGCGGAGGAACAUGUGGUCUAACUCGAUGAUACGCGAGGAACCUGACCUGGGCUUAAACGUAGGCUGCAUGAGGUGGAAACACCCUUCCCGUCGGGGCUACCGACAAGGUGCUGCAUGGUAGUCGUCAGCUCGUGCCGUGAGGUGUCGGGUUAAGUCCCAUAACGAGCGCAACCCUUACCGUUAGUUGCCAUCAGGUCAAGCUGGGAACUCUAACGGGACUGCCACCGUAAGGUGAGAGGAAGGUGGGGAUGACGUCAAAUCAGCACGGCCCUUAUGUCCAGGGCUACACACGUGUUACAAUGGCCGGUACAGAGGGCAGCUACACCGCGAGGUGGUGCUAAUCCUAAAAGCCGGUCCCAGUUCGGAUCGUAGUCUGCAACCCGACUACGUGAAGUUGGAUUCGCUAGUAAUCGCGCAUCAGCCAUGGCGCGGUGAAUACGUUCCCGGGCCUUGUACACACCGCCCGUCAAACCAUGGAAGCUGGGGGGACCUGAAGUCUGUCACCGAAAGGAGCGGCACUAGGGUAAACCG